GACAGAGGUGGCGAGCGUUGUUCGGAAUUACUGGGCUUAAAGGGCGAGUAGGCGGUGGAGCAAGUCUGAGGUGGAAUCCUACGGCUUAACCGUAGAACUGCCUUGGAAACUGUUUUACUUGAGUCAGUGAGGGGAGGGCGGAAUUCCUGGUGUAGCGGUGAAAUGCGUAGAUAUCAGGAGGAACACCGGCGGCGAAGGCGGCUUCCUGGACCAAUACUGACGCUGAGACGCGAAAGCGUGGGGAGCAAACAGG
rnacentral:rRNA from 1 species